ensembl:lncRNA
UUCUGAAGGAGAUCAGCCCUGGGAUUUCUUUGGAAGGAAUGAUGCUAAAGCUGAAACUCCAGUACUUUGGCCACCUCAUGCGAAGAGUUGACUCAUUGGAAAAGACUCUGAUGCUGGGAGGGUUUGGGGGCAGGAGGAGAAGGGGACGAGAGAGGAUGAGAUGUCUGGAUGGCAUCACUGACUCGAUGGACGUGAGUCUGUGUGAACUCCGGGAGUUUGUGAUGGACAGGGAGGCCUGGUGUGCUGCUAUUCAUGGAGUCGCAAAGAGUCGGACAUGACUGAGCGACUGAACUGAACUGAAUACAUUUGGGGAGCAAUAAUUUCAAGUCAAAUAACUGUUUCUUUCUACAUAACUGCUGCUGUCAUGAAUAUACAACUGUGUAUCCUGCUUUGUGGGCUUCCCAGGUGGCUCAUUGGUAAAAGAAUCCGCCUGCAAUGCAGGAGACUGGAGUUCAAGCCCUGGGUUGGGAAGAUCCCUGGAGAAGGAAAUGGCAACCCACUCCAGUACUCUUGCCUGGACAAUCCCAUGGACAGAGGAGCCUGGUGGGCUACAGUCCACAGGGUUGCAAAAGAGUCAGACAUGUCUUAGUGACUAAACAACAACAUCCUGCUUUGUAUCCAUGGUGGAAAAUGCCCCCAUAUUAAUGAAACUUUGCUGAAAUAUUAUCUUAAAGUUUAAGGAGAGUGUGACUCCCACACAUCAGAAAGGCCAGGUUCCCUACACAGCCAGUGCUGGAAGCAAGUGGUUGGGCAAACCCCCAUCUUCUUCUAGAUACAGAACAUCCUUGCUCAUCAUCACAGUCCUGAUCCAGGGUGGGGUGGUGCUGAAGAGAGGGGUCUCAUGGCUUCUAAUCCGAUGCUGAUUACUCAUCUUAUUUUUGCCAUAGUUGAAACAUGACAUUGUUUCUGCUCUCUGCCUUUCUUUCCCACUUGAUGAUUGCCAAGAUACUUUCAUCUCUAAAAUGCUCUGUCUCCAGACUUAGUUCCUUAGUACCAUGGAGCACAGGCUUCCCAGGUGGCUGAGCGGUGAGGAAUCCACCUGCAAUGCAGGAGACCCAGGUUCAAUCCCUGGGUCGGAAGAUCCCCUGGAGAAGGGAAUGGCUACCCACUCCAGUGUUCUUGCCUGGAGAAUCCCAUGGACAGAGGAGGCUGGUGGGCUACAGUCCAGAGGGUUGCAAAGAGUCGGACACGACUGAUGCAACUGAGCGCACACGCACACACCAGGGAGCACAGGCUCUUCUCUCCCUGCCCCUCCUUCCCUCUUCCUUCUUCCGUUUUUGUUCUUUCGAUGCCUUUCUAUUGCAUUGCUUGCUCUCUUUCAGACCCUGAUUUAUUUUUCUCACAUCGCAUUUAUAAUCACCCUGUAAAAUAGGCACUCCUAUUAUUAUCCUCAAGUGAUAGACAAGGCAAGCAAAGUCCAGAGGGGCUGAGGGGUAAGUCGGGGAAGCUGAGCACUGCGCUGUCCUCCAGUGACUCUCCUGGAGACCGGCUGCUUGUGGGAGAACCAGCAGUCAGCCUGCCAGGCCAGUCUGCGGGUCACUCACUCACUCAUGGGCUCCCUGGUCACAGUAGGCCGAGGACAUCCCUGUAUUAAGCCUCAGAAGGAAACGUGUUUCAUGGCAGAGGGUAACUCAGGUCGCAGGUGAAAGUGCUUCCUAAUCAGAGGUCCGUAGCGGAGGCGAUUCCCUGUGAGUCAGGUGGACCCAGUAGAAUCUUUAAGAGAGGAAGCGGGAGGCGAGGAGGAGUUAGUGUCUAGGGUCUACAGCUGGCGUCAGCCUUGCAGGAUAGCGGGGUCAAGAGUCCCAGGGUGCAGGCAGCCUCCAGAAGCUGGAAAAUGUCCAGGGAUGACGGAUUCUCCUCUGGAGGGUCCAGGAAGAAGUCCAGCCCUGCCGACCACCUGACCUUAGGCCCGUGAGCCUCUCCUCGAUUUCUGACCUCCAGAACGGAAACGUGUGGAACGCACUCUCCCGAGAAGUGUCCUGAAACAGACGGAGCCACGGACGCCUCUAGAUGUUUUCUUGGAUGUCACGUCCCUUGAAGCUGGUUUUGAAGAAAGACUGAUUGUUCUUGAUUCUGACAACAGAGUGUGAGAGUCUUGACAGGAGACCUCACUGACCAGCCCUUGAAUUCUGCGUUUCCUUGAAACUCAACUUCAUUGUCCCAGCAAGGACCUUGGCUCUUUAGAUUCUUCUGGACAGCUCUUCUGGCAUCCCACCCUGCUGACAUUGCCCAGAGCAUGGAGGCCAAGCUCCAAGACCUCAUACCUGCGGCAUCUCCAUAGCAAAGCAUACCUACUUACCGCUAAUCCCCCAAGGGGAAGUCAGAAGUGUUCCCGCCCUCAUUUCUCAUGGCCACCCAAUCUCCAACUCAUGCCAUCCUUAUUCUGCCAAGUCUCCCACCUUCCUUAGUUCCCAGGGCGACUAACUGUAGCUCAGGCCCCAUCACCUGUCCUGAGUCCUAUCCUGCCACCCUCCUUCCUAUCUCCCUGCCUCCAGUCUGGUCCUCUUAGAGUCUCAGGAGGGGAGUUGGUAACCUCCCCAGGCACAAGUGGGAACCAGAAGGCCUGGGCGUAGCAAGGCCUGAGUGAACUGCUCUGCGGAGAACUUAGGAACAGGGCAGCACCUUCCGGGACAUUUGUGGGACCCUCCUCCUGCUGGGAUGGGCUGUUCUUUACUCCCAUUUCUGGCCACAUGCGCCCCCACCCACCCCCAGCAUCCAGCCACCCUGGACCACAACGGCUCCUCUUCUCCCCUGCUCUGAUCUUUAUUUUUAAUUUUGGAAGAAAAAUAUGAAUAAGGAGCUCUUCACACUGUUCCUCCCCACCCUCUGAAAUCUUAGCCAUAUUUCAGGACCCAGUACAUCACCACUUUUUCUAUAGUGCCUAUCCUCAUCUCUGUGGGCAAGAUCCAUCUCUCUCUUUGGGUUCCUAUUACAUUUUCUGCUUUCCCUAGAAGACAAAUAGCAUCUGCUUUGUAUCAUGUCUGGGGUCUGUCUACCCCACUCAGCCAGCAGCUCUUGAGUGAGAGCCUUCAGUCCCUUGCCAGAGAAUCACUCGGGCAGGAGACGGUUCCUGUUAAAAUGCGUGAUUCCUCAGCCUGCCUGCAGGAGAGGUCACCUGUUCUUUGGGCUGCCCAGUAUUUAUUCCUGGUCCGUCUAGAAACAGCAUCCUCAUUUCCCAGGGGACAUUUCUCCUCCCCUGUUUGCAUUCUGCGUAAUCAUGGAAGAGGCUUGGCUCUGUCUCAUUGAGGGCUAGAAAGUGACACGUCGCAUUCUCUCGCUGGCAUUCGGAUCAUUACGCAAGGAAAUGAUAGAAAAAAACUCCAAAGAUUUUGCCCAUUCGUUCCGCCAACCUAAAACACCCAGUGCUUUUCUGUCUAAAUUAAAUUUUAAAAGGAAAAUAAAUUGAAAGAACUUAUGAUAUCUCAUGUCAGGACAACCUACAUUAUCUCAUCUAAUGAGGACAACUGAACAUCCCAGUCUCAGAAAGGACAGUUACUGGGGUCAGGUUUUAUUGCUUCCAACCUAAGAAAUAAAAGACCCACUGAAUCACAGUUUUUAGGAUGAGAACUGAGAAGUAUGCCUUUGUAUAAGAAGAUCCCCGGUGAUUUAAAAAAACAUACAUUUUAUUUUGGUAUAGUUUUAGAUUUUCAGGAUAGUUGUGAAGGUAAUAAGAGGUUUCCCUUAUACACCACACCAUCCCCACCUUUAACAUUUCGCUUUUCCAUUAGUUCCCACAAGUUAAAACACCCACUGCAGCACAUUCAUCACAACUAAGAAGCUGACAUUGACCUUGCUGUUCACUAAGUUCCAGACUUGAAUUUCAUCAGUUUUUCCGCAAACGUCCUGUGUUUGGAUGCAUUCCGGCACACCAUAUUGCAUGAAGUCCUCCUGUCUCUCUGAUCUCCCUUGGUCUCUGACUGUUCCUCAGCCCUUCCUUGUUCAUGACCUUGGCAGUGGCGAGUUGCACUGGCUGGGUAUCUUGUUGAAUGUCCCCUCCUAAUGAUUCUGACACUGACGCAGGCUCUGAGCAUCUCAAGGACCAGGCUCACGUCUGCACCGUUGCUAUUACGUCCUGCCUGUUCUGUGAGUGCCUAGUCAGGGGCGAGAGCUCAGUGAAUAGGUGUUGAUGGAAAUGAAGUUGACCGCCUGUCCGGCCGCCCUGCCCUGCGCUGCCCCGGGUCAGGAACCAGACCUCGCCCAUCCCUGCACCUCUGUGCCCCGCUUGACCCCCACACCGUUUGUGAUGGGACUCGGAGGAGCUCCCACCGUCCGAUAGAGCUGAACGCCUUUGACUCGGGUGGAGGUUUCAGACAGACAUAAUCACGUCAUUCCAGAGGAAAACGCUUAAUCGCGAUCAUCUGGCCAGAUUUUGACGUCUCUCUUUCAGUUCAUUCAUGAAAGUGUUGCUCUCAGUCCAAUCAGAUAAAAAGAAACAAAGGGAAGGGGGCGGCUGGCGCUCUCUCAUCAGAGCCGGGAAGAUGGGUUCUUGCUCUAGGCAUGUUUAUAAAUUUAAAAAUAUUUCAGAUGCUUUGGCGAUGCUGCUUAUUCUGGUUCAGCGGGCAGGGGGAAUGCGUGGUGGGGGAUGCGUGGUCGGGGCACCGUGCUCCAUCUCGUCAGGCAGCUGCUGCUGGAAUACGGUCCUCUUUGCUCUGCCAGAGGGGAAGUGUGGUGUGCUCGGCAUUGCAGAGCGUUAAGCUGAACAGACUCAAUUCACGCACUUCCUGGAAACAAUGAGAACCAAAAGCAGUUAUCAAGUAGAGCUUAGUGGAUCUUGGUACUGUGUUAAGUGCUUUCCAUACAUAAAUGUCUAAUGCUGAUAC